UACGUAGGGUGCGAGCGUUAAUCGGAAUUACUGGGCGUAAAGUGUGCGCAGGCGGCUUCGCAAGUCGAGUGUGAAAUCCCCGAGCUUAACUUGGGAAUUGCGCUCGAAACUACGGAGCUGGAGUGUGGCAGAGGAAGGUGGAAUUCCACGUGUAGCGGUGAAAUGCGCAGAGAUCGGGAGGAACACCCGUAGCGAAGGCGGCGCUCUGGGCCGGUACUGACGCUGAGGAGCGAAAGCGUGGGGAGCAAACAGG
rnacentral:rRNA from 1 species